GACGAACGCUGGCGGCGUGCUUAACACAUGCAAGUCGAACGGAAAGGCCCUGCUUUUGUGGGGUGCUCGAGUGGCGAACGGGUGAGUAACACGUGAGUAACCUGCCCUUGACUUUGGGAUAACUUCAGGAAACUGGGGCUAAUACCGGAUAGGAGCUCCUGCUGCAUGGUGGGGGUUGGAAAGUUUCGGCGGUUGGGGAUGGACUCGCGGCUUAUCAGCUUGUUGGUGGGGUAGUGGCUUACCCAGGCUUUGACGGGUAGCCGGCCUGAGAGGGUGACCGGCCACAUUGGUACUGAGAUACGGCCCAGACUCCUACGUGAGGCAGCAGUGGGGAAUCUUGCACAAUGGGCGCAAGCCUGAUGCGGCAACGCCGCGUGCGGGAUGACGGCCUUCGGGUUGUAAACCGCUUUCGCCUGUGACGAAGCGUGAGUGACGGUAAUGGGUAAAGAAGCACCGGCUAACUACGUG
rnacentral:rRNA from 1 species